GCCAAGGGGACAUCCGCGAUUGCCCCGUGAGGCUUCGGCCGAAGGAUCGCGUCCGACACUCCACAUGGAUGGAGAGGACGUGCCAUG
rnacentral:ncRNA from 1 species